rnacentral:tRNA from 1 species
GGAUUGUGGCUCAGCGGUAGAGUGCUUGCCUAGAAUGGGUGCAACCUGGGUUGGAUUCUCAGCACCA